AAUACUGCAAAAAAGAAGUAUAGAUGUUUUUGAAUUGAAAUGAACUUUAAAGACUUUACAACCAUCACACUUUUCAGACAAGUGGACUAUGCUUUAAGAAAGGUUAAGGGAUUUGUAUAAGGACCCAGAGCUGGUUGGCAGCAGAGCUGAGAAUCUCUACUAUAAUCUCCUGAAUCACAUCAAUCACAUUCUUACCUGCAACUGUUUCUUAACAGCAAUGUCAAUCAUGGGACUUCCAAUACCCACAAUCCAUUCUAAGGGAGACUGGCCAGCCCACAGACAAACCUUGUUCAACCUGACUCACUGGAACUACCACUCCUUCCUAUGUGUCUCAGAUUCUCCCCCGAGCUCUUACACCCUACACAUUUCCUGUGGGCUUCCAUCAUUUCCUCAUUCCUGAAGGAACAGAUCUGGAAGAAGGGAUGGAUGCUGCAAGGACACCCAUCGUCCAUUGGAUCUUAAAUGCUUUACUCGAUGUAUAGAAGAAAGACCUGCAUAUGAUAUGGCUGAGAAGUAAGAAAACCAGUGAAAACGGUUCUCAAAAUGCCUACCACCCUAGAAGACGUUUUGGAAAUUUGAGAAGUUUUUGUUAUCAUGGCAGUUCAGAGGCAUUAUGGCAUGUAGAAGAUGAAAGUACAGGGAUGCUAGAGACUUUGCAGUGCCUAUUGUCCUGAAUAAGGGAGAUGGUUCCUGUACCUGACACUACUUUCUAAUGACCUAUUAAACAUUUAAGUGUGUGAAAAACCUUUUACUGAUUAUCUGAAUUAGAAUCUAACAUCAUUUCUCAUAU